AUUCCCUUUCCGGGCGCUAUCAAACAUAAUACGGCCCCGGUUUGCACACCGGGAAUCCAGGAGAGUUCAUGUAC
rnacentral:sRNA from 1 species